CUACAAGAUUGACCAAAUCAAUAAACCUUUUUUUUUUUUUAAAUGGUCUUGGUGUGUUCUGAUAUGGUGUGUUCUGAUAUCUCAUUUGUAGCAUAGUUCCCGUAUUGAAGUCAUGCUAGAAUCGGUGUAGUAUAAUCGGUCUGUAAUCAGCACAUAAAACAUCUAAAGGCACGAGCUUGAAGCUAACACCAGAAGAUCCGGCAUGGAUCCGGCGUGGAACGAGAUUGAGAAGACAGCGCCGAACAGUGUGACGGAGAGGAGUUGAAAAGCUGCUUUUCAAUGUCUUUACAGCAACAACAACAAAAAAGACGUAUUUUCAACGUGUUGUGCUCAUAGACCCGUCGCUUUACCAGGGAGCAUCCCAAAGUGCUAAUCGGUCUAAAUGUAAAUCAUGCUCUGCAGCAGUGAUGUAAGAUUUAUUCCGAAACAAUUAAUGUUGAAAAUAGCUGUAAGAUCAUGACAUGUUGGCCUUGCCUGCCAUUCCAGUGAAAUUACAAAUUAGUUCAUUAAUAUGUUAAUUAGACCAUGUUAAUUUUUUGUCUACGCUGGCCACUGGAACAGCAUUAGAGUUCUCAUAAUAUUUCUAAUUGCAUGUCAAUGAUGCUAUUGAGCUCAUUUGGGCAGGAAUUUGUAUGCAAACAUCACGUAAAAGGGGUUGGCUGGUGAAGUAUGCACGUUUCUUUGAAUGAGAAUUAUCGAUAUUUAAUAUAUAUAUAUAUAUUUGGGGAAGAUUUGAAUGAUUUGCUUAGGGAAGAUUUGAACGAUAUCACACAGGGAUAACUGCAUAGCUGGACAUAUUAGAAAACUCAGUGCAAAAGCUGAGACCGAUAACGUUUAUAAGGUUGCGCAUUGAAAUGGAGGCAACGCCACUAUUCCAUGCGCUCUUUUAUGACGUUUCAUUCCAGAAUCUGUAGGUAGAUGAAUUCCAACAAAUAAAUUCGAUAGGCUAUCACUUGGAUGACAUUACAAACAAGAUCUUUCAUCGCAGACUUCCAUUCAGCGCAAACUAAGAUUUAUCCAAACUUCUCAACAAAGGAAUUCAAAAAUGGGAAACAUUUGGGAGUCCAACCUGUGUGUCCACCCCACAAAUCCCUCAGCAAUCAGGAUGAUCCUGAGAAGGGUUGGUUUUCCAGGCUCAUCUCAGAAGGCUGUGUGGAGUCCUGUGCUGACCCAGCUGUCCCAGAGUGCUGUACACCAUGUGGAGGCCAAUGCCAGUCAUGACCUUCCCUGCCCCCUGACAGUGGAGCUGUUGAAGGCAAGAAAUCUUUACAUUCCUUGGUUGAAGGAUAGUCCUACUGUCAAUCAGGAAGUGAGCCAGCUCAAGAGACCUAAACUGUCAUGCCCCAAGUUGACCCAGCUGUCCCAGGGUGCUGUGCAGCAUGUGGAGGCCGGUGCCAAAGCCAGUCAGGUAUCCUCGUACCUUUCUUGGAAGAGGCUGAAGGAUUUUAUUGCGAAACAGAAGAAGGUGAGCCAGCCCAAGAGGCCUAAACUGGUCCCCAGCAUCAGGGCCCCCAAGGACCCCAGCCCACUACGACAGAAGCAGCAGCAACAGAGGAAGAGGUCAGCCGAUAAGGUGUAUGGCAGCAGGGGGUGCACGAGAGCAGCCAAGAAGGACAUCUCUGGAGAUCUGGCCCAGCUCAAGCCUGGUCAGUCCACAGGAGACGCCUGGAACAAUACAGACACUGGAGCUGAAGAACCUCGUCGUCUGGAGGUUAUGAAGAACCUGACAGGUCUGUGGGGCAGCACUGGGCAAGGCCAGCCUCAGCCGACUCCACGAGCCAACCGUCUCAGCCCCUCCCUGGCCCAGUACUUAGCCUCCACUGUCACACCGAGGACCUUUGACCUCCAGAUAAUGGGCAUGACCUCUGACCUAAUGGACUUCUUGGACAUGCCCGAGGAGAGACUGUCUAUAGAGCUUUGGGACCUCGGGGAGGGCACAGGGGACCAGCGCUACAAAGCCAACUGGCAAUUCUCAGAGGAGCACGGCAAUGUGCUGAUGGAGGGAGUCUGGCUCCAGAAAGACGACAACUGGUAAUUUGGAGACCUCAGCUCGCCCAAACGCUUCCUCAGUAGGAAAGAGGAGGGAGCUUAUCUGCUGAUAUUCACUCAUUCAUAUGCACACAUCAGUAAAGGCUUUGAGGAAAAUAGAAAUUGCAAUUGGAAGUUCAGUUUACUUUCUGAAUUUUAAAGGAAUUGACACCAACCCCGGAACAAAUACACACAGGCUCACAGGCACACACAAAAAAAGGAUGACUCUUGAGGAUUGCAGUAUCUUAUCAUUUUUAUAUACAAUUAAUAUUUUCAUUAGCAUACAUACAGUCAUUCUUGUGUUUUUAUUCAUUUUUAAAAUCAUGACAACCAGAGAAGUGUAGCAUUGUAGGGUUGCUGUGUCUGUGCAUUUGAUUAGUCUAAAACAUCAUGAACUGAUGGUGUCACAGGUGGGAUCUGAACCCUGGUCUACUGCGUGAGAAACCACCAUCUUAACAAUUAGGCCAAUAGAUAAUUCCUCAAUUACACUGGCAUAAGGGCCACUUAUAGGAAUGAAUCUCUACCAGGUAUAGUAAGACAACAUAUUUAAUAACUUAUGUGUCAUAUUACUUCCCCGAAAGGAAUAUAGAUGUGUUGAUCCCCAGGAUGGGAUAUAUGAGGAUGAUAUGUCCACCCAAGCAUCCAGACGCAUGAAAUAAAUUAGCUUCCAAAAUGCACUUGAUUGCUGAAAUAAAUGGAUUUACGUUAAUGAUUCUAUAUUUUAUUCGCUUUUUUACAGCGCAUGGUUAUCUUUGAGCUUGUGAAAAAGUGAGUUUGUUUCAGUGUCAAUUGGUGCUUUUUUUACUCAUUCAUCUAGAGUGUGUUAUUUAAAUGACUGAUUUACGUUGGGGUUUUGGUUAAUUCAGAUGGUAUUUACAGUGCUUUCAGAAAGUGUUCACACGCCUUGACUUUUUCCACAUUUUGUUGUGUUACAACCUGAAUUUAAAAUGGAUUCAAUUGAAAUGUGUUUUGUCACUGGCCUGCAAACAAUACCCCAUAAUAUCAGAGUGGAAUUUAGUUUUUUAGAAAUGUUUACAAAUUAAUUAAAAUUGAAAAGUUGAAAUGUCUUGAGUCAGUAAGUAUUCAACCCCUUUGUAAUGACAAGCCUAAAUAAGUUCAGGAAUAAAAAUGUGCUUAACAAGUCA
ensembl:lncRNA